rnacentral:misc_RNA from 1 species
GAAAUGCGAUAAGUAGUGUGAAUUGCAGAAUUCAGUGAAUCAUCGAAUCUUUGAACGCAGAUUGCGCCCCUCGGUAUUCCGUGGGGCAUGCCUGUUCGAGCGUCAUCUACACCCUCAAGCUCUGCUUGGUGUUGGGCGUCUGUCCCGCCUCCUUCGCGCGCGGACUCGCCCCAAAUCCAUUGGCGGCGGCCCUUGCCUCCCUCUCGCGCAGCACAUUGCGCUUCUCGAGGCGCGGCGGACCGCGUCCAGCAAGCAACCGUCACACCGUCUUUGACCUCGGAUCAGGUAGGGAUACCCGCUGAACUUAAGC